GGUACCUGAAGAAAAAGCAUCGGCUAACUCCGUGCCAGCAGCCGCGGUAAUACGAAGGAUGCAAGCGUUAUCCGGAAUCAUUGGGCGUAAAGGGUCCGCAGGUGGCCAAUCAAGUCGGCUGUUAAAGACCGGGGCUUAACUCCGGGCAGGCAGUGGAAACUGAUUAGCUAGAGUACGGUAGGGGUAGAGGGAAUUCCCAGUGUAGCGGUGAAAUGCGUAGAUAUUGGGAAGAACACCGGUGGCGAAAGCGCUCUACUAGGCCGAAACUGACACUGAGGGACGAAAGCUAGGGUAGCGAAAGGGAUUAGAUACCCCUGUAGUCUUAGCUGUAAACGAUGGAUACUAGGUGUAGCUCGUAUCGACCCCAGCUGUGCCGAAGCUAACGCGAUAAGUAUCCCGCCUGGGGAGUACGCACGCAAGUGUGAAACUCAAAGGAAUUGACGGGGGCCCGCACAAGCGGUGGAGUAUGUGGUUUAAUUCGAUGCAACGCGAAGAACCUUACCAGGGCUUGACAUGUCGCGAAUCUAGCGGAAACGUUAGAGUGCCUUAGGGAAUGCGAACACAGGUGGUGCAUGGCUGUCGUCAGCUCGUGUCGUGAGAUGUUGGGUUAAGUCCCGCAACGAGCGCAACCCUCGUCCUUAGUUGCCAAUAUUAAGUUAGGCACUCUAGGGAUACUGCCGGGGACAACUCGGAGGAAGGUGGGGAUGACGUCAAGUCAGCAUGCCCCUUACGUCCUGGGCGACACACGUACUACAAUGGUUGGGACAAAGGGCAGCAAGCUCGCGAGAGUAAGCGAAUCUCAUCAAACCCAGCCACAGUUCAGAUUGCAGGCUGCAACUCGCCUGCAUGAAGUAGGAAUCGCUAGUAAUCGCAGGUCAGCAUACUGCGGUGAAUUCGUUCCCGGGCCUUGUACACACCGCCCGUCACACCAUGGAAGCUGGCUACGCCCGAAGUCGUUACCCUAACCCUAAGGGGAGGGGGAUGCCGAAGGUAGAGCUAGUGACUGGGGUGAAGUCGUAACAAGGUAGCCGUACCUGAAGGUGUGGCUGGAUCACCUCCUUU
rnacentral:rRNA from 1 species